UCCCUGGUGGCUUAGACGGUAAAGCGUCUGCCUGCAAUGCAGGAGACCCGAGUUCAAUUCCUAGGUCAGGAA
rnacentral:tRNA from 1 species